GGGUGCAAGCGUUGUCCGGAAUUACUGGGCGUAAAGAGUUCGUAGGCGGUUUGUCGCGUCGUUUGUGAAAACUCACAGCUCAACUGUGAGCCUGCAGGCGAUACGGGCAGACUUGAGUACUGCAGGGGAGACUGGAAUUCCUGGUGUAGCGGUGAAAUGCGCAGAUAUCAGGAGGAACACCGGUGGCGAAGGCGGGUCUCUGGGCAGUAACUGACGCUGAGGAACGAAAGCGUGGGUAGCAA
rnacentral:rRNA from 1 species